GCUCUUGGCAGCUGCGAGAAAAGUCCUAGCCCACAAGAUGCUGUGAAGACCAUUUCUUUCUCAAAUCCUCAUUUUCCAAGGAACUUUUUGAAGAUAACCAUCCUAUCACAACUAAGCAAAUCCACUGAACCACCUCACUUAUAUUUGUGAGCUGCCUACAUCAUGUAGUGGCUUGAAAUGAUCUCCUCUGACUUCAAAUACUUUAUAAGCCAGCAGAAUUUGAGUUGGU
rnacentral:lncRNA from 1 species